rnacentral:rRNA from 1 species
GAUGAACGCUGGCGGCGUGCCUAAUACAUGCAAGUAGAACGCUGAAGGAGGAGCUUGCUCUUCUGGAUGAGUUGCGAACGGGUGAGUAACGCGUAGGUAACCUGCCUGGUAGCGGGGGAUAACUAUUGGAAACGAUAGCUAAUACCGCAUGACAACAGUUAUUGCAUGAUAACUGUUUAAAAGGGGCAACUGCUCCACUACCAGAUGGACCUGCGUUGUAUUAGCUAGUUGGUGAGGUAACGGCUCACCAAGGCGACGAUACAUAGCCGACCUGAGAGGGUGAUCGGCCACACUGGGACUGAGACACGGCCCAGACGCCUACGGGAGGCAGCAGUAGGGAAUCUUCGGCAAUGGACGGAAGUCUGACCGAGCAACGCCGCGUGAGUGAAGAAGGUUUUCGGAUCGUAAAGCUCUGUUGUAAGAGAAGAACGAGUGUGAGAGUGGAAAGUUCACACUGUGACGGUAGCUUACCAGAAAGGGACGGCUAACUACGUG